UACAGAGGUCUCAAGCGUUGUUCGGAUUUACUGGGCGUAAAGCGUGCGUAGGCGGCGAGGUAAGUCAGAUGUGAAAGCUCGGGGCUCAACCCCGAAAUUGCAUCCGAUACUGCCUUGCUGGAGUAGUGGAGGGGGGUCUGGAAUUCACGGUGUAGCAGUGAAAUGCGUAGAUAUCGUGAGGAACACUAGUGGCGAAGGCGAGACCCUGGACACUUACUGACGCUGAGGUACGAAGGCUAGGGUAGCGAAGCGG
rnacentral:rRNA from 1 species